rnacentral:rRNA from 1 species
GAUGAACGCUAGCGGCAGGCCUAAUACAUGCAAGUCGGACGGGAUUCAGGGCUUCGGUUCUGAUGAGAGUGGCGCACGGGUGCGUAACACGUAUGUAACCUACCCUUACCAGGGGGAUAGCCUCUCGAAAGAGAGAUUAAGCCCGCAUAACAUGUUGAUAUGGCAUCAUAUUAACAUCAAAUAUUUAUAGGAUAAGGAUGGGCAUGCGGAACAUUAGCUGGUUGGUGCGGUAACGGCGUACCAAGGCGACGAUGUUUAGGGGAUCUGAGAGGAUGAC